CGCCCUAAACGAUGAAUACUAGAUGUUUGGUACCAAGCGUACUGAGUGUCGUAGCUAACGCGAUAAGUAUUCCGCCUGGGAAGUACGGCCGCAAGGUUAAACUUCAAAGGAAUUGACGGGGGCCCGCACAAGCGGUGGAGCAUGUGGUUUAAUUCGAUGCAACGCGAAGAACCUUACCUGGGCUUGACAUGUCUGGAAUCCUGCAGAGAUGCGGGAGUGCCCUUCGGGGAAUCAGAACACAGGUGCUGCAUGGCUGUCGUCAGCUCGUGUCGUGAGAUGUUGGGUUAAGUCCCGCAACGAGCGCAACCCUUGUCCUUAGUUGCCAGCGGUUCGGCCGGGCACUCUAGGGAGACUGCCGGUGACAAACCGGAGGAAGGUGGGGAUGACGUCAAGUCCUCAUGGCCUUUAUGUCCAGGGCUACACACGUGCUACAAUGGCGCGUACAGAGGGAAGCCAAGCCGCGAGGUGGAGCAGACCCCAGAAAGCGCGUCGUAGUUCGGAUUGCAGUCUGCAACUCGACUGCAUGAAGUCGGAAUCGCUAGUAAUCGCGGAUCAGCAUGCCGCGGUGAUACGUUCCCGGGCUUGUACACACCGCCCGU
rnacentral:rRNA from 1 species